rnacentral:tRNA from 1 species
GCGGACGUGGCGGAAUCGGCAGACGCGCUAGAUUCAGGAUCUAGUGGUCAUUGUGACCGUGGAGGUUCAAGUCCUCUCGUCCGCACCA